GCUACAGGAUGCACAGGAACAAAAGGAAAAUGCCUCUUAGAAUUCUAGUAUGUUAGAUCCCAUUAAGUAAGAGAAAGGAUGUUACUGUGUCUGGUCCAGUGCCACUUGAAGACUUGUAUUCUCUAAUGAAAGUACUCCACCACCCAGAUGCACAUGCAUACACCCAAAAGUCCUGUGGGCACUUACCUAGGCCAGGGAAACUUGGUGGCACCUGUCUUGAUAACAGCAGUAAGAGUAUUUGCUAUAAAGCAGAAGUGAGUUAUACCUUUUACAAGACAGACCAUUCAGGGAGGAAGUGUUGGUUACAUUUUUCCUCCAUUCAAAAAGAAAACAGCUUUGAGCUCCGUGGAAAAUGUACAGUAGAUUCUUGUUAUUUACCAUAGUUAUGUGGAUACAUUUGUUGUGAAUCCUGAAUUAGUACUGAACCACUGCUCAGGGAAAUACAGGGUUAGGUUCUUAGGGAGUCUUUGGUUUAUUUUUGUCAACUGAUCAACAUGUAACCUUAUGUGUGUUUCUGUCUAAAGAUAGCUUAUUUAAUAUAUGUGUUUUACAAAUAAUUAUAUACAGUAGUUCUUUAUAUUCAAACACUGCCUGAGAAAGAUUUAACGUCUUCUUGACCCUGAGUAACAUGACUAAAUUUCUUUGGCUUUCAGCCCCGCAAGAAUGCUGUCUACUACGUUUUUUAAAUCUAUCCUUGUCUUAUGAAUCCACAAAUUGAGCUGCUUUUCCACAGCACUUACAGAGGUUACUUCGGUCCUUGAUGGAGCAGCCUCACGUACAUACUGGCUCACCAACAGGAGAAGAGCGGAGAGCAACACCUCCCCCAGAUCCUUCCUCUCCCUCCACUUCCACAUAAGUUCUGCAUAAUUUGGCCUCAGAAAAAGUAAGUUCCCAUCAAGGUAAUGAACUGAAGAUUUUCAAGAGAUUCUGGUAUACUUUCUUGGACCACUAUGAAUUGACAUAAGACUUACCCGUUUGUGUUGCCUUGCGAGUUUUUCUUUUGCUUCUUCCAGCUCUUUCUGGAUUUUCAGAACAUGUUUGUUCAUCUUACGAAUUGUGGAGUGCAAGAUUUCCCAAACAAACAAUCUUAAAAGUAACAGAGUUUGGUUACUGUAUGUUAAAGCAUGCUUCUAGAAAGACCUCUCAGCUUUUAUAACCUACUCAUUUUGAAGGUGAUUCCACUCUUUAGGCAGAAUUAGUCCUAUUUCUCCAGGAACACAUACUUUUUUUUUUCAGAGAUUGAGUGAGCCUGUGAGUGGGGGAGGGGGAGAGAGGGAGAAUCCCAAGCAGGCUCCAUGCCCAGCUCACAGCCUGGCAGAGCCUGACACAGGGCUCAAUCUCACAACCAUGAGAUCACAACCUGAACCAACAUCAGGAGUCGGACGCUCAACCAGCUAAGACACACAGGUACCCCAAUUUUUUUGUAUUAUAAAUUGUGCAAACACCUAUCUCUACCCGUUAGACUCAGGUGAGCUUCCUGAGGCAGUAGUGGGUCCUAUCACUUUUAUUUCCAUCCUCUACUAGACUCGCUAGAAGGUAUGUGUACAUACACUGAAAUGAAAUGGCACACCAGGAAAAAAUGUAUACAUUAGGAACAAAAAUCUAUUUUCUCUCUUCUAAAUUUAAACAUCAGGUACUGGAAUUUUCUCAAAACAGAAGCCCAAUCUAAGGCUCAUUUCACAUGCCUUAUACUACUUAACUAGCAGACAUUCGGCCAAUUCUUUGGAAUAUUUAAGAAACUUACUAGUUCAUACUAGCUAUCAACUGCUGGGCCUUUUUAAGAAUGAAAUAAAUAUAGGUCAGCUACUUUCUCAGUAAAUUACUCAACUAGGAUCACCUUGUAAGCGCUUUGAAAUGUUUAUUGCAUAAAAGGUUUAUUUUUUGAAGUAGCUUCUUAACUACAUCUGUCUAUAAAUUAGUUCUUCCUAAUGCCAAGAUAUAGCCUCUAUAAAUCUUGCCUUGGAUGAUGACAGUUUCAGUGGAAGAUAAUAAAACAGCUGAUUCAUAAAACUCCAAAGUCUUAUGUUAGCAGACAAGGUACAACAGCAAAGUACUUCAACUCUGGAAGGGGUGGUCUGGAAGGCUUUGCAGAGUUACAAAUACUUGAGCUUGGAGUCCAAGAACAGAGGGUGCUUUUGAGCCCUUUAUCGGUUCAAGAAUGCCUGUGUCUGAAUUCUGACUCUGCACUUAGCUGAGUGACUGUGGACAAGAUACUUAAGCACUCUGCAACAUUUUCCUAUUUUGUACUUAAGAAUGAUAACGUAACCCCCUCCGUAGUGGGGGGUGAGGAUUAAAUGAGUUGCAGUGUAAAUCGCUCAGGAUAAUGGUUAACAAAUAUUUGGGUGGUCUAUUUUCUGAAGAGUUUACAGAUCUGAGGAUGUCUCUUGCCUUAAUUUGCGAGUGCCAGUCUGGCUGAUAUGGUAACUUUAGAUCAUACCCUUCCACUCUACGGAUUCAGUUCAUUUUAGACCUGUGUCCUCUGCAAUAACAGAUACGAUGAACAGGGUAAGUGCUGUGAUGGAUUUUUAGAUCCUUGUAAGAUUCCUUUGUUUCCUGUUGUGUCAACUCCUGCUAUUCCUGAUCAGUUAGGAAGCCUGUGGACUCAACUUCACGAGUAAGAACAAAACUUAAUGAGAAGUCUCUUUCCUGUAUAGGAAAUGGGUCUAGAAUAAAUCUUGUGGAUUAAAUCUAGGUUUUUUUCUGACUGAAGUGAGAUACCGUCCUUCCCCACAGGCACUCAGGUGCCCACCAGACUCUCCUCAACCCCUCACUGCCAUGUGCUUCAUCUACUGUGACUGGUUUCUUCCAGUUGCUGGUGUGCGUUCCAGGUCCCCAGCUGAGCUGGAACUCUUUCCCACAUCCCACCGUCCGGCUCAGAUCCUGGCACAUGGCCUGAUCUUCUCUCCCGAUAGUCUGUAUCCUUUAUCAGCGUCCUUCAGAGACACUGCAAACUGCCUGGCUGUGUGGAUUUACAUUGUCCAGGAAUCUCUGCCAUGUCCCAGUUCUAUCUAAUCUGGUAGCAUCAGUAUAUUAACAAUGUUUCAAUCAGAACUUGGAGCUCAUGUAUGAGACUGAAUAUAAACUGAUUCUUACAGAAUACAAACUGUAUAAAAUAAUCCACAUUUACCUAGUAAAGUCUCGAGAGAGUUCUGAAGAGAAGAUCCAAUUUGCCACUGCGGCACAGUCAACAAUUUGUGUACGGAUCAUCUUAUCUACUAGCACAGCAAUCAUCUACAAUGAGAAAAGAAUCAUCAGGGUAAAUCACACUUGUAUGUAAGCCACAACAAUCCCGCUGCUACAAAAGUAAAAUAGGAGGUCUGUGAAAUUCAUUUUCAGUGGUUGUGGAACUGAUCCAUUUGACCAUCAGGAGGUCUUAAUUAAGAUUCAUUCUGCACUCUGUUUGGCUCUGGUACUUACUGUAAGAAAACUAGAACACCAAUAAAGAUUGAGCAAAAAGACAAACUGAGUGGCAACACUUAAAACUUUGUCUGAUUAAAUAGUUUUUACCUGUGGAUGGUUCCUCCAGACCUCAAACAUAACUCGUAGGACAUGUAGCUUUCCUUCAUCACUCUCAGCUAGGGUUUUGAAGACUUCAUGAAACCUUUUCGCGGUGGGGAAAAAACACCACAGAUAAACUUACUCAUUAAGCAUUUUAAGUUUUUCAAAGCCUUUCAAUGUUACUGAAUUUACAGUGCAACACAUAAAUGCAAAACAACCCAAUGUUAAUCAUUAAGGAUACAAAAGGUAUGAUUAGGAAUUCGUGGUUUGUAUGAAAUUUGUCACACAACCUUGAGAGAUUUACAAAUAUGCCAUUCACUGUCAGCUGAGGACUACAAUUUUCGGGGCAUCUAAGAAUAGGUGAGGGCUAAGGAAUGGUGUCCACAAACAGGUGAAGUACCCUGACUGCACUUCCUGUGGGGGUCCUGCAAAUCAUAGAUACUUGGAAGCCAAGGUGGGGAGAGGAGCCCAGUUUGCUCUGCUGGAGGAGUAUCUACAUAUGCUCUUACUUCUUUUGGAUUGUCUGAUGAAUUAGAAAGCUCUGUCUUUGUAUGCUAACCUUUGGGUGGCUCCCCAAAAUGUAGUCGGCCCUCAUUUCUACUUCCCUUCCUUUAGGAAGAUGCUUAGAUACGGUGGGAGCUUCUUGACUGUAUAUAUGACUGUCCUAUGGACCCAGGUUUUUCACUAGGUUCUCCGAGGGGCCAUAUGAAAAAAUGUACACAUAGACUGACAGGAGCCAAAUAGGGUUGUAGCCACUACAAAUCAGAGCUCUAUUAAAUUAUAUGCCAAUGCUAUUAAGAUCUUCAUGUCCAACAACUUUAGCUACACAUUUCUAUACCCCUGGUAUUCACCGAAGUUCCAAACCCUUAAAACAGAGCGUGUCUUCUUGUUGCACUUACUUUGCAAGAGCACUGAAGGAGUGGCUGAAUGAUUUGGCUGCCAAGUGUAGCAGAGUCUGUACAAAGACCUCUAUUUUCAGUGGGUUAAAGCUGAAUCCUUCAUCUGAAAAAUAUUCCACAGUAAGACAGCUAGAAAAAUGCUGAGCAUAGCAAUUCUUUGUUCCCUCACCUGGAAUGCUAAAUGGGCGGCAUACUCACAUCCAAACAUUAAGCCAGACAUUCGUGUCAUGUCUCUGAGGACAAAUAGACAAUAAAAGACCACUGCUGAUCUUAAAUACUCAAAAUAUAAAACUAAGCAUGAUCUUAAUUCUUACUUUCUGGGGAUUAUUUCCCUAAUUCUUCUAUAUGAUCCAUUUCUUUUACACAUAACACGUGGACUUCCUUGUUCGUAUCGCUCUGUGUGCUGGCAAGAUAACAUAUUAAUAAAAAGAUUCAGCAAACCCUUAACUAGUAAGUCUAAGUCUUAAGAUAUCUGACAGCGUCUAAAUUUAGGACCAUCAUUUUGACAUAUGCUAUCUAAACACAAUUUCUAUCAUAAUACAAAUUUCUCAGAAAAAUCCAAACAAAAUCCUAGUAAUAAAUAACCCAAGGACGAUUCAUGUUUUUAUUUUUAUUACUAUGCACAUAUCCUUAUGUACAGAUCUAACAAAUUUUCCUCCAAAACGUUACCCAGUUGUCUGUCCCAGUAGACUUUUCAUGUUUUCCUGAUUUGUCUCUUUUGGUGCCAAUAUCACAUUGUUUCAGUUACCGUAUGUUUCAGAUAUCUUUUAAUAUGUUCUAAGUCCCUCUCAUCUUUUUUUUUUUACCUUGUUCAUUUACUGAUUCAGGUGAACUUAUAAAUUACUUGCCUAUUUUCCCACUGUUGCUCAGAAAAAACCCUAGGGGUUUUGGUUGAAGUUACAUAGUACAUACUCAGUGGGUGUUACACAUCAUUAUUACAAUAGCUUAAAUAGGUGAAAAAUCCAAUUACAAUUCACCAAAUCUUCCACUCAGGAACCUCUCUAAAGUUAAAACAGGGAAUGUUUAAAAAUGAAUGAUAACAGCAUAUUUAACUUUGUGGUUAGUUUUUAUACUGAAUGUAAGCUAUGUCACAGGCAGAUGAGGAUCUCUUUUGUAGAAGGAAGAAAGUUGCCGGCACACUGAACUGACACACUGAACAGGCUACUGCUUAGAAGCAUCCGUUGAGACUUAGGAGAAACUCAAACUGCCAUAAUGCUUUAUAUUUAUGCUUUAACCUGGCCUAUAGAUAGUUCCAUUGAAGAAGUGGUCCCUUACCGUCGUCAUCAUCCUGGUUAGGAUUUGGUACAUCUUUCAGAAUGCUGAAGAUUUCAUCAUUGGUUGCUUUACUUUUAAAGGCAACAGCUAAACAGAGGGCAACUGAAUGUCCAGGAAGAGAAUCUAAGCACAGAAUGGGGAAAAGGGUAGGAUCAAGUUUUAAGACUGUUCUUAUAAAUAAAUAGCUGAGAAAUUUACAUAACUGUCUUUUGUCCUCAAAUCCCUAGGCUUUUGUAAGCUGAAAAGCCGAGAUUCAAUGUAUUUAUUUCAUUUUGGUCAAUGUCCCUUCCUCCUCAUUUUCUCUGAGACAGUAACGACUAAGUUUGUGUUUGAACAGGUGAAGGUUGCCAACUUGUGAUAGGUUUUUUUUGCUUUUCUCUUCUGCUGAGGCCAUACACUUGAGUCUACAGAAGCCAGAUGCUCAUAUGUUGUGACUCUAUGUGUUUACUGUUGGUUAUUAUCUGUCGAGUCCUUAUUUGCGCUAAUAUAUACUGUAUGGCAUCACUACAGCAACUGGAAAUCUUUUAACGUAAGGUGGACAAAGAGGUAAUAAAUCAAAAGACAAUCCUGACAUAGGAGUUACUAAGCACUUGGAAUGAAUGAAGUCAAUCACAACAGGUCACAGGUGCUGUUUGCUUUUCCCUAAAAGUGGGAGACAAAAAAAAAAAAAAAGAAUCUCGUGUCACUGAAGGGUCUACAUUGUAGCAUGGGAACCAAGAUAGUCACACAGGAAGUAGCCAGAGCAACACAAAACUGGCUUGCUAAAGGGCAGUAUUUAUAGGAGAGGAGCCUUGCCGGACCCUAGAGAGAGUAUAGGAAUUAAAGACAGAAAGGGCUUUCCAGAUAGAAAGGCAAAACCAAAAACCAUGAGCACAGGAAAGAUAAAAAAGAAGUGGCCUGGUUGGAGCAGGGGUCCAUCUGAGAAGUGACAGAUAAAAAAGCAGGAACAACUGUUAGGAGCGCCUUAACUGUUAGGUUCAGUUGUUUCUAUAGGAAAAAAGCAAAGUCCAUAUUCAACAAAAGUCUGAACUCUUGAGAUCAAAGACUGUGCCUUCUGCUUCUCUGAGCCAGACUGAGGCAGAGCUCAAAACUCAGCACCCAGAGGAGUGCCACACCGCCUCACACUUCGCUCUUUCAGGGAAGCACAGUGGUAAGAGCAAGGCUGCUCGGUAAGCCUGGAUGUGAGUCUGGGCUCUGCCCCUCGGAUGCGACCUCACUCUGGCCUCACCUCUCUGAAGAGAUUUCCUCGCCGUAAAACUGGUCUACUAAACACACUUGAUUCUCAGAGAUGUCUCGAGGACAAAGGGACAUAAUAACGUAGAAAAUGUACUUAGCAUUGGGACCAACGGAGUUUACUUCAAGGAAAACAGGUGUAGCGUGAGGUGUAGUGGAGAACCAGGGCACGCACAGAAGGCGAGGGAGGGGAGGGAGUUCCAAGACGCAAAGAACUGCUUCCCAACGUGGGGUGGCAGGUGCGUGGAGGAGCCGCGUGCAGCGCCGUCUGGAAAGACUCCCGUGGAGCAACUACACACCUAACUCUCUGCAGGGACCACCAAGGUACGACGCCUUACCUUUGUUACGUGUUAAGCACAACACAGCACAGCAAAUUCUAGGCCCUCUGAUUCAUAGCAUAAUCUCAGACACGAGGUGACCAAAGAGUAAGAAAACCGUAUUUAAGAAUUUCCUUCUACAGGCCUCUUGCUGGUCGGAAUGUAUCCCGUGUGCACCUAUGUUCCCACACCUGAACUGGUACCACAGGACAACCAAGUCAAAUAAUCUCCACCGCCAGGACAUUUAUUAAGUUUGGGCUUUAAAUUCAACUUGCUGUACUUAGCAGCAUAUUUAAAAUAAGGUCAUGGAUAUAACAUUAUAAGCAAUAUUAAGAAAAAAGUUCACAAGUAAUAACUAAGUAGGUCAUGAAUCUUCCAAAGGAUGACAGGGCAAACAAAAUACUGACUACUGUAGAUCACCUUUCAAACAGACAAACAAACAAAAAAAACCAAA